CGGGCACGGUCCGGGCUUAUAUUUCUUGGAACAGAAUGUCAUAGAGGGUGAGAAUCCCGUCUGGAGCUCGGACACGACCUAUGUGAAACUCCUUCGACGAGUCGAGUUGUUUGGGAAUGCAGCUCUAAAUGGGUGGUAAAUUUCAUCUAAAGCUAAAUAUUGGCCAGAGACCGAUAGCGCACAAGUAGAGUGAUCGAAAGAUGAAAAGCACUUUGAAAAGAGAGUUAAAAAGUACGUGAAAUUGUUGAAAGGGAAGCGCUGGCGACCAGACUUGCGCGUCGGGGUUCCCCCUUGCUUCUGCUUGGGUUACUCCCCGGCGUUCAGGCCAACAUCGGUUUCGGGGGUUGGUUAAAGGCCUUGGGAAUGUACCUACCCUCCGGGGUAGACUUAUAGCCCAGGGUGUCAUGCGACCUCCCGGGACCGAGGAACGCGCUUCGGCUCGGAUGUUGGCGUAAUGGUUGUCAGCGACCCGUCUUGAAACACGGACCAAGGAGUCUAACAUCUAUGCGAGUGUUAGGGUGUCAAACCCUUACGCGGAAUGAAAGUGAACGGAGGUAGGAAGCCUUAAGGCUGCACUAUCGACCGAUCCUGAAGUUUACGGACGGAUUUGAGUAAGAGCAUAGCUGUUGGGACCCGAAAGAUGGUGAAC
rnacentral:rRNA from 1 species